rnacentral:lncRNA from 1 species
AUGUGGGAGAAACAUCAGGAGAGAAUACUUCUAGAACAUGGCCAUACAGCUCAGAAAACAUACAACAACCCCAAUCUAAACUAUGCUUAUGGUUGUGCUACAUUUUCUAUCAGGUAUUCAUUUCAACUAGAUUUUGCCCUGAAUUUCCAUAUCUAUGAUACAAUUUUUAGAAUGGAACUCAGCUGGAAAGAAAACAAGAAUAUUGCCCCAUUUUUGUUGCAAGAAAAACAACAUGGUUUUGUAUUUUCAAUGUCUAAUUUGCAAACAGAAUAGGAAUUUAAUUGAACAGACAUCCAUCUAAAUCACGACCAGCGGUCUUGUUCCCAAUCCCACAUCCUAAAUAUUCACCAGAGGUGCACAAUGGAGGGUCUAGAUCUCUUCAAAGAAAGCCUGUGAUCAAAUUACCACCAAAAAGGAAAGGUAUAGGGUUAAAGAGCCUGUGUCCAUGGAAGGUACAUCCUGGACAGACCAUAGUUAACUGAAACAAUGAAUACGAUCACACACAAUUAAGACAUCUGACUUCCAAUAACAGUAGACCUACACUGGGAGAAAAUGAAAGGACAAUGUGUUGUCAAAGGCUUUCAUGGCCAGAAUCACUGGAUUGCAGUGAGUUUUCCAGGCUGUAUGGCCAUGUUUUGCGAAAUGUCAGGAGAUAAUACUUCUGGAACAUGGCCAUACAGCUGGAAAACUCACAGCAACCUAAUGAAAGAACAUUUCUCCAGAAAUUUGCUAUGUCUUCACAUGGAACUCUAUGGCAUCUUCCACUGGAGGAUCUGGCAAAUUCCUGGAGGCAUGUGAAAUAAUGGACUUGGGUUCAGCCAUUAUGGGAGGUCUUACUGUACAAUGCUUUGAUGCUGAAAAAGGACUGAGUUUACUGCAGAAAUAGACACUCAAUGUUUGUGUACAUGCUUAUAUUGUUCCAAAGCUGAAGAAUAAUAAUUAUAUGUUUCCUCUCCAAAUUGGGCCUGUGUCAGAUACAUUUAUGCACUGUGGGGAGAGAAGUGGUGACUGUACACAAAGCCAAGAAUGAUGCAAGCAAAGUAGGAGAGCAAGUUAGUGUGUAACAGAUUAGAUUCUCAGGAAGGACACAUCAGCCACAGUUCCAGCUAAAAUGUAACAAUGGUUUGAAUCCCCUUUCUAGAAACAAGACAAAUAUGUCUCCUCUACACCGAGAGAGUAUUUUUCUGGAAAUGCAGAGGGUCUGUAUUACCCCGGAGCGUCCAAACUAGGCACAACCACAAGUUACAGCAAAAGCAGUUUCUUUUUCAAUAAAGGAGCUUUUUUCAAAACAAGAGGACAAGCCAUUCUGGUCUAACCCGUAGGUUUAUUAAGGCAGGUAAGAGCACUGAAGUGUUAAAACCCAACAUUGAUUCAAACAGCUUCAAAGCAGACAG